rnacentral:rRNA from 1 species
AUGGCGAUGGUGCUGGAUGCAUUCGCGUCCUACCUGGUGGACAUGCUCACGCAGGUGGCAGCAGAUGAGGUAGGGGCGAUGCUCGGUGUCUCGGGUGAGAUCAACAAGAUGGGCGACAAGCUCCUAGACCUCAAAAACUUCCUGGCCGACGCCGACAGGAGGAAAAUCACCGACAAGACCGUCCAAGAGUGGGUGGGGCAGCUCAAGCAUGCCAUGUACGAAGCUACUGAUAUCCUCGACCUCUGCCAGCUCAAGGCCAUGGAGAGUGGAUCAUCCUCGAUAGAUGCAGGGUGUUGCAAUCCCUUGCUCUUCUGUAUGCGGAACCCCUUCCAUGCUCAUGAGAUCAGCAUCCGCGUCAAGGCACUCAACCAGAGGCUCGACGCCAUCAAGCAACGAAGCGCCACUUUUGGCUUCAUCAAUCUCAUGUCCUAUGAGGAUCGUAGUGGCAAUGCCCUUGCCACGCACUAUGGUAAUCCAAGUCGGGAGACGGUAGGGGACUUUGACCGGUCGGCUUUGGUUGGGGACAAAAUCGAAGAUGACACAAGAGCGUUGGUGACCCAUAUCAUGCAGACAGGAAAGGAGGUCAACGAUGGCAUCAUGGUGGUCGCCAUUGUAGGUGUCGGCGGGAUUGGCAAGACCACACUCGCUCAGAAGAUCUUCAAUGAUGAGGCAAUCGAAGGUGAGUUUAGCAAAAAGAUAUGGUUGAGCGUCAACCAAAACUUCAAUGAGGUUGAGCUGCUGAGAAGAGCCAUCAUCGAAGCCGGAGGAGACGCCCAACUAGCUGGAAAUGCAAAGGCCACACUUCACCGAAGCCUCAAGGAUGCCUUGAUUGGCCACAAGACCUUGUUGGUAAUGGAUGAUGUGUGGGACCAUGUAGCAUGGGAGGGUGUGCUCAAAGUUCCAUUCAAUGUUGCUGCUUCAGGCAGCCGAGUCAUUGUCACCACUAGGGAUGAAGGUGUUGCUCGAGGGAUGAUAGCUAGACGGCCCUACCACCAAGUCGACACAUUAUUGCCUGGAGAUGCUUGGUCAUUGCUCAAGAAGCAGGUACUCUCAGGUGAGAUAGAUGAAGAGCACAUCAAUACACUAACGGAUAUUGGAUUGGAAAUUAUACAAAUAUGUGGUUGUUUACCACUUGCUGUUAAAGUAAUGGGAGGUCUCUUGCGUGAAAGAGGGGGGCUCCGUCGUGAAUGGGAGCAGGUUUUGGAUGAUUCCAAAUGGUCAGUAACUAAAAUGCCCCAAGAGCUCAACCACACAGUAUACUUAAGUUAUGAAUAUAUGCCGCCUUAUUUGAAGCAGUGCUUUCUAUACUACUCACUUCUUCCUAAAAGUAAAGUUUUUCAUAUGGAUGAAGUCAUUGCGAUGUGGAUGAGUGAAGGAUUUAUUCAUGGAAACUCUAGUGAUUUAGAAGAAUUGGGAAAAAACUACUACAAGGAGUUGAUAUCUAGGAACCUUAUAGAGCUAGAUAAAUCAUAUGCUCAUAUAUGGGUUUGUAGCAUGCAUGAUGUUGUUCGCUCAUUUGCUCAGUAUAUGACUAAAGAUGAAGCGCUCGUAGCUCAAGACGGAGACAAUGAUAUUCUUACAAAACUUGGUUCACAAAAGUUUCUUCGGUUGUCAAUAGAAACUAACCGAUCACAAUCAGGUGAUCUAGAUUGGACAUCUCUGCAGGCGCAACAAUCAGUGAGAACAUUAAUCUCAACUAUUCAGAUCAAGAUGAAGCCUGGUGAUUCAUUGGUUACCUUCUCAAGUCUACGAGUCCUAUAUAUAGAAGCUGCAGAUGUGGCUGCACUGGUUAAAUCAUUGCAUCAACUCAAGCACUUGAGGUAUCUGGCACUAUUAGAGACUCAUAUUUCUGUACUCCCUGGGAACAUUGGCAAGAUGAAACUAUUACAAUUCCUUGACCUUCGUGGAUGCACAAAAUUGGUGAAUCUUCCUGAUAGCAUCGUGAUGCUUAGCCAACUACAAUUUCUUUACAUUCCCAACAUACAUAUGAUACCUAGAGGGUUCCGUGGUCUGACAGACAUAAGGAAACUAAUUGGGUUUCCAGCCCACAUGGAUGGUGAUUGGUGCAGUUUGGACGAGUUGGGGCCUCUUUCCCAACUCAAAAAUCUUUUCUUAAAUAAAUUGGAAAAUGUAUCUGCUGCCUCAUUUGCUGCUAAUGCUAGGCUUGGUAAGAAGAUGCAUCUUAUCGAACUAGACAUUGGUAAAGAUUGUGUUAAAAUUAAGAUGUGA